UCGGGAAUUUUGGGCAAUGGGGGAAACCCUGACCCAGCAACGCCGCGUGAAGGAUGAAGUAUUUCGGUAUGUAAACUUCGAAAGAAUAGGAAGAAUAAAUGACGGUACUAUUUAUAAGGUCCGGCUAACUACGUGCCAGCAGCCGCGGUAAUACGUAGGGACCAAGCGUUGUUCGGAUUUACUGGGCGUAAAGGGCGCGUAGGCGGCAUGACAAGUCACUUGUGAAAUCUCUGGGCUUAACCCAGAACGGCCAAGUGAUACUGUCGCGCUAGAGUGCAGAAGGGGCAAUCGGAAUUCUUGGUGUAGCGGUGAAAUGCGUAGAUAUCAAGAGGAACACCUGAGGUGAAGGCGGGUUGCUGGGCUGACACUGACGCUGAGGCGCGAAAGCCAGGGGAGCAAACGGGAUUAGAUACCCAAGUAGUCCCUGAGCGGGCUGGCAAGGCGCAU
rnacentral:rRNA from 1 species